rnacentral:rRNA from 1 species
UACGGAGGGUGCGAGCGUUGUCCGGAAUCAUUGGGCGUAAAGGGCGCGUAGGUGGCCCGGUCAGUUCGUGGUGAAAGCGCGGGGCUCAACCCUGCGUCGGCCAUGAAUACUGCCGCGGCUGGAGCACUGUAGAGGCAGGCGGAAUUCCGGGUGUAGCGGUGGAAUGCGUAGAGAUCCGGAAGAACACCGGUGGCGAAGGCGGCCUGCUGGGCCAGUUGCUGACACUGAGGCGCGACAGCG